rnacentral:rRNA from 1 species
UAGGGAAUCUUCGGCAAUGGACGGAAGUCUGACCGAGCAACGCCGCGUGAGUGAAGAAGGUUUUCGGAUCGUAAAGCUCUGUUGUUAGAGAAGAACGUUGGUAGGAGUGGAAAAUCUACCAAGUGACGGUAACUAACCAGAAAGGGACGGCUAACUACGUGCCAGCAGCCGCGGUAAUACGUAGGUCCCGAGCGUUGUCCGGAUUUAUUGGGCGUAAAGCGAGCGCAGGCGGUUCUUUAAGUCUGAAGUUAAAGGCAGUGGCUUAACCAUUGUACGCUUUGGAAACUGGAGGACUUGAGUGCAGAAGGGGAGAGUGGAAUUCCAUGGGUAGCGGUGAAAUGCGUAGAUAUAUGGAGGAACACCGGUGGCGAAAGGGGCUAUCUGGUCUGUAACUGACGCUGAGGCUCGAAAGCGUGGGGAGCAAACAGG